rnacentral:rRNA from 1 species
UACGUAGGGACCAAGCGUUGUUCGGAUUUACUGGGCGUAAAGCGUGCGCAGGCGGUUAUGCAAGACAGAUGUGAAAUCCCCGGGCUCAACCUGGGAACUGCAUUUGUGACUGCAUGGCUGGAGUGCGGCAGAGGGGGAUGGAAUUCCGCGUGUAGCAGUGAAAUGCGUAGAUAUGCGGAGGAACACCGAUGGCGAAGGCAAUCCCCUGGGCCUGCACUGACGCUCAUGCACGAAAGCGUGGGGAGCAAACAGG